rnacentral:rRNA from 1 species
GGGUUUGUUCAUGGCUCAGGACGAACGCUGGCGGCGUGCCUAAUACAUGCAAGUCGAGCGGACUUGACAGAGCUGUGCUGCGGUUCAAGUUAGCGGCGGACGGGUGAGUAACACGUGGGCAACCUGCCCGUGCAGAUUGGGAUAACUCCGGGAAACCGGGGCUAAUACCGAAUAACAUAGGAAACCACAUGGUUUCCUUUUAAAAGGCGGCUUCGGCUGUCACUGCAGGAUGGGCCCGCGGCGCAUUAGCUAGUUGGUGAGGUAACGGCUCACCAAGGCGACGAUGCGUAGCCGACCUGAGAGGGUGAUCGGCCACACUGGGACUGAGACACGGCCCAGACUCCUACGGGAGGCAGCAGUAGGGAAUCUUCCGCAAUGGACGAAAGUCUGACGGAGCAACGCCGCGUGAGUGAAGAAGGUUUUCGGAUCGUAAAACUCUGUUUGUCAGGGAAGAACAAGUACCGGAGUAACUGCCGGUUGCCUUGACGGUACCUGGCCAGAAAGCCACGGUUAACUACUUUGCCAGCAGCCUG